rnacentral:rRNA from 1 species
GUGAUUAUACGUCAGUCUGCCACUGAAUUAUAUUUUAAAUGGCCGCAGUAUUUUGACUGUGCAACCGUAGCAUAAUCAUUAGUUUUUUAAUUAAAAGCUUGUAUGAAAGGCUGGACGAGGUAAAAUCUGUCUCUAUUUAAAUUAUAGUAGAAUUUAUCUUUUAAGUUAAAAGACUUAAAUAUUAUUAAAAGACGAGAAGACCCUAUAGAUCUUUAUAAUUUGUUAAAUGAAAUUAAUUUAGAAAUUUUUAUGUUUUAUUUAAUUAGAUUAUUUUAUUGGGGUAAUAAAAAGAUUGAAUUAAUUCUUUUUUAUAAUUAACAUUGAUAUAUGAAUAUUAAUGAUCCAGUUUUACUGAUUAUAAGAUUAAGUUACCUUAGGGAUAACAGCGUAAUUUUUUUAGAGAGUUCAUAUCGAUAAAAAAGUUUGCGACCUCGAUGUUGGAUUAAAGAUUAUUUUAGGUGCAGAAGCUUAAUAAUUUUGGUCUGUUCGACCAUUAAAUCUUUACGUGAUCUGAGUUCAGACCGGGA